CGCAUCUGUGCAUGCAGCAUAUCAAUAAGCGGAGGAAAAGAAACUAACAAGGAUUCCCCUAGUAACGGCGAGUGAAGCGGGAAGAGCUCAAAUUCGAAAUCUUAAAGGGUUUCCCUUUACGAAUUGUAGUUUAAAGAAGUGUUUUCUGUUGAGGUUUUGGUAAAAGUUCUUUGGAAUAGGACAUCAUAGAGGGUGAGAAUCCCGUAUUUGACCUUUACUUUCAACUUUGUGAUACACUUUCAAAGAGUCGGAUUGUUUGGGAAUGCAGUCCAAAAUGGGUGGUAAAUUUCAUCUAAAGCUAAAUAUUGGCGAGAGACCGAUAGCGAACAAGUACCGUGAGGGAAAGAUGAAAAGAACUUUGAAAAGAGAGUUAAACAGUACGUGAAAUUGUCAAAAGGGAAGCGUUUGACACCAGUGUUGUUUUUCUGAAAAUCAAUUAAAGAACUGUUUAUGCUAAGCUUGUUUAGACUUUAUCAGCUAUCUGUUUAGUUUUGAGCUUUUCUUUAAUGCACUUUUCAGUUAACAAGUCAACAUCAAUUUCUUUUGCUGUAAAAAAGCUUGAGGAAGGUGGCUUGAGAUUCGUCUUAAGUGUUUAUAGCCUCUUGCCUAUGCAGUCGGAGAGAUUGAGGUCUGCAGCGUAGAUCCUUCGGGGCUAAAUGCAUUUGUGCUAAGUUAUAGCAUUUUAUAGACAACUUGUUGACUAUGAUUUGUCUUGUAGCUUACUCGCUUAUGUUAUUUUACCUACGCUUAGGAUGUUGAACGCGCACAGAGUCUC
rnacentral:rRNA from 1 species